GGCCUAACACAUGCAAGUCGAGCGGAAACGACACUAACAAUCCUUCGGGUGCGUUAAUGGGCGUCGAGCGGCGGACGGGUGAGUAAUGCCUAGGAAAUUGCCUUGAUGUGGGGGAUAACCAUUGGAAACGAUGGCUAAUACCGCAUGAUGCCUACGGGCCAAAGAGGGGGACCUUCGGGCCUCUCGCGUCAAGAUAUGCCUAGGUGGGAUUAGCUAGUUGGUGAGGUAAUGGCUCACCAAGGCGACGAUCCCUAGCUGGUCUGAGAGGAUGAUCAGCCACACUGGAACUGAGACACGGUCCAGACUCCUACGGGAGGCAGCAGUGGGGAAUAUUGCACAAUGGGCGAAAGCCUGAUGCAGCCAUGCCGCGUGUAUGAAGAAGGCCUUCGGGUUGUAAAGUACUUUCAGUUGUGAGGAAGGGUGUGUAGUUAAUAGCUGCGCAUCUUGACGUUAGCAACAGAAGAAGCACCGGCUAACUCCGUGCCAGCAGCCGCGGUAAUACGGAGGGUGCGAGCGUUAAUCGGAAUUACUGGGCGUAAAGCGCAUGCAGGUGGUUCAUUAAGUCAGAUGUGAAAGCCCGGGGCUCAACCUCGGAACUGCAUUUGAAACUGGUGAACUAGAGUACUGUAGAGGGGGGUAGAAUUUCAGGUGUAGCGGUGAAAUGCGUAGAGAUCUGAAUGGAAUACCAGUGGCCAAGGCGGCACCCCUGCACAGAUACUGACACUCAGAUGCGAAAG
rnacentral:rRNA from 1 species